GAUGAACGCUAGCGGGAGGCUUAACACAUGCAAGUCGAGGGGCAGCAUAAGGUAGCAAUACUUUGAUGGCGACCGGCGCACGGGUGAGUAACGCGUAUGUAACCUGUCCUUAACAGGAGGAUAACCCGGAGAAAUUCGGACUAAUACUGCAUAAAAUUAUAAAUAGGCAUCUAUUAAUAAUUAAAGCUAAGGCGGUUAGGGAGGGGCAUGCGUAACAUUAGCUGGUUGGUAGGGUAACGGCCUACCAAGGCAAUGAUGUUUAGGGGACCUGAGAGGGUGACCCCCCCACACUGGUACUGAGACACGGACCAGACUCCUACGGGAGGCAGCAGUGAGGAAUAUUGGUCAAUGGGCGGCAGCCUGAACCAGCCAUCCCGCGUGAAGGAAGAAUGCGCUAUGCGUUGUAAACUUUUUUUCAGGGGAUAAAUUCUGUAUGUAUACAGACUGAAGGUACCCUGAGAAUAAGCAUCGGCUAACUCCGUGCCAGCAGCCGCGGUAAAACGUAG
rnacentral:rRNA from 1 species